CCUACGGGCGGCUGCAGUGGGGAAUAUUGGGCAAUGGAGGCAACUCUGACCCAGCAACGCCGCGUGAGGGAAGAAGGUUUUCGGAUUGUAAACCUCUGUCCUAGGGGACGAAGAAAGUGACGGUACCCUAGGAGGAAGCCCCGGCUAACUACGUGCCAGCAGCCGCGGUAAUACGUAGGGGGCAAGCGUUGUCCGGAAUUACUGGGCGUAAAGGGUGCGUAGGCGGUUUGGUAAGUUAGAUGUGAAAUCCCCGGGCUUAACUCGGGAGUUGCAUUUAAAACUGCUGAACUAGAGUGCAGGAGAGGAAAGCGGAAUUCCUAGUGUAGCGGUGAAAUGCGUAGAUAUUAGGAGGAACACCAGUGGCGAAGGCGGCUUUCUGGACUGUAACUGACGCUGAGGCACGAAAGCGUGGGGAGCGAACAGGAUUAGAUACCCUGGUAGUC
rnacentral:rRNA from 1 species